UACGGGGGGGGCAAGCGUUGUUCGGAAUUACUGGGCGUAAAGGGCUCGUAGGCGGCCAACUAAGUCGGAUGUGAAACCCCCAGGCUUAACCUGGGAACUGCAUCCGAUACUGGAUGGCUUGAAUCCGGGAGAGGGAUGCGGAAUUCCAGGUGUAGCGGUGAAAUGCGUAGAGAUCGGGAGGAAGGCCGGUGGCGAAGGCGGCGCUCUGGAACGUUUCUGACGCUGAGGCUCGAAAGCGUGGGGAGCAAACAGG
rnacentral:rRNA from 1 species